GCCUGGGUGGCUCAGUCGGUUGAGCGUCUGACUUCAGCUCAGGUCACGAUCUCGCGGUCCGUGGGUUCGAGCCCCGCGUCGGGCU
rfam:Felis catus isolate Cinnamon breed Abyssinian chromosome B4, whole genome shotgun sequence.